rnacentral:tRNA from 1 species
UCCAGGGUAGCCUAGUGGACAUGGCAUCUGCCCGUAAGCGGAACGUUGUGGGUUCGAAUCCCUCCCCUGGAC